rnacentral:rRNA from 1 species
GUCGAGCGGCAAGGUCUUCGGACCCUAGAGCGGCGCACGGGUGAGUAACGCGUACGCAAUCUGCCCUUCAGUGAGGAAUAGCCCUGGGAAACUGGGAUUAAUACCUCAUAAUAUUAUUUGUUCGCAUGGAUGAAUAAUUAAAGUUCUGGCGCUGAAGGAUGAGCGCGCGUCUGAUUAGCUAGUUGGUAGGGUAACGGCCUACCAAGGCUACGAUCAGUAGGGGGCGUGAGAGCGUGACCCCCCACACGGGUACUGAGACACGGACCCGACUCCUACGGGAGGCAGCAGUAAGGAAUAUUGGGCAAUGGAGGCAACUCUGACCCAGCCAUCCCGCGUGAAGGAUUAAGGCCCUAUGGGUUGUAAACUUCUUUUGUUUGGGAAGAAAUCUGGACAUUUAUGUGCAGUUGACGGUACCUUACGAAUAAGCACCGGCUAACUCCGUGCCAGCAGCCGCGGUAAUACGGAGGGUGCAAGCGUUAUCCGGAAUCACUGGGUUUAAAGGGUGCGUAGGCGGUUUGAUAAGUCAGAGGUGAAAGCUAGCAGCUUAACUGUUAAAUUGCCUUUGAUACUGUCAGACUUGAAUCAAGUUGAGGUGGGCGGAAUGUGACAUGUAGCGGUGAAAUGCAUAGAUAUGUCAUAGAACACCAAUUGCGUAGGCAGCUUGCUGGGCUUGAAUUGACGCUGAGGCACGAAAGCGUGG